UCCUUAGUGGUGCAAAAGGCUAACACCCUUGGCUGCUAACCAAAAGUUUGGUGGUUUGAAUCCACCCAGAGGCC
rnacentral:tRNA from 1 species